rnacentral:rRNA from 1 species
UACGGAGGGGGCUAGCGUUGUUCGGAAUUACUGGGCGUAAAGCGUGCGCAGGCGGCUUUGCAAGACAGAUGUGAAAUCCCCGGGCUUAACCUGGGAACUGCAUUUGUGACUGCAUGGCUGGAGUGCGGCAGAGGGGGAUGGAAUUCCGCGUGUAACAGUGAAAUGCGUAGAUAUGCGGAGGAACACCGAUGGCGAAGGCAAUCCCCUGGGCCUGCACUGACGCUCAUGCACGAAAGCGUGGGGAGCAAACAGG